rnacentral:rRNA from 1 species
AUGUUGGUGCUAUUGCAAUUAGCUGCAUGGGCAGCCACCGCCUCUAGCUCCUUGGUGGCGAAGCCAGGCUGCCAGGCGCGAUGCGGCGGCGUCGACGUCCCCUACCCGUUCGGCAUCGGCGCCGGCUGCUUCCGUCCCGGCUUCGAGAUCGCCUGCAACAACAUGACGCCGUUUUUGCCGGACGCCACCGUUGGAGGUGACACGCACCUCGCCGAGCCCGUGCGCGUGCUGCACCUGACAGUGGCGCCGAGCGCGCAGGUCCAGGUGCUGGUGCCUGUGGCGCACCGGUGCUUCGACGCGGCCGGCAACGAGACUGCCGGCAGCUUCGACGGCAGGCUGAACAUCAACGAGCUGGGCGUGUAUCGCUUCAACGAGACCGCCAACGAGCUCUUUGUCCUGGGCUGCAACACCCUCGUCUACGCCAGCAGAGGGAAGUCGAGGUCCCAGGUCUGGAACGAGUCAACCGUCGCCUACUUCAGCGGGUGCGUGGCCUACUGCAACAGAGUCCAGAAGCCGCGGGACGGCAAGUGCAACAGCGUCGGAUGCUGCCGCAGCGAAAUCUCGCCGUUUCUCAAAAGCCCCAGCAGGAUGAGGUUCGAGAAAUGGGCGCGCGCCCGCAUCGACUUGAGGCACUCCUGCAGCUACGCCUUCAUCGUGCAGAAGGACCACUACAUUUUCAAGGCCGCCGACCUGGAGAGGACCCCGGAGCCGAACCCGGCCAAGCGAUGGAGCAUGCCACUUUGGCUCGACUGGGCCAUCCGCAAUAAUGAUAGUAGCUCCUCGUUCUGCCCUGUGCCGGACAAGACGCCGGGAUAUGCUUGCAUGAGCAACCGCAGUAAGUGCGCCAAGUCCAUCAACGGGGAGGGAUAUUACUGCAUAUGCAACCAAGGCUACGAGGGCAACCCAUACCUUGAAAACGGAUGCACGGCUUCUACAUGCGCUACGUCUCGCCCACCCGAGCUAACUCUCAUGGGUGACAAACUGCAGACUCCGUUUUAG